GCUACUGCUCAGUUGGUAGAGCAUGAGACACUUAAUCUCAGAGUCAUGGAUUCGAGCCCCAGCUUGGGCA